UUAAAGAUUUGUUCCUACAUUACAGAGCACCCGUACUUACAGCGUUACCUUGGAGGAAUGAUAGUUUUAAUAGUUUCCAGAUUCUUACACAAAAUAAGGUCAGCAUGAAUGAUAUUUCCUCAGUCACCAAUAAUGUGGACUAUGAGAAUCAGCUAGUGGAAAUUAGUGAUAAUCGUGUGCAUGAUACCACACUGGUAUCCACAAUUGACUGUUUUAAUCCGGGGAUAACUGCUUUCCGUUACGAGCAUGGAAACAAUGUAACAAGUGAUGACUCUUUAUGCGAGACAGUUUUUGAUUGUGUGGAGAAUGCUUCGAAGGGAAGAGUCGAAUUACAAAAGGUGGAUUAUGAAAAACAAAUAGGUCAAAUCUAUGGCACUCAAGAGAACUGAACAACUCAUAAAUCAACCAGACUAAAAAACUUCCAUCCUCUAGAAACUGAUUUUUUAUGGUGGCUCAGUGCGACCUGAGCUCUGGGCUAUGUGACAGUGCUACAGAACUGCCUGCUAGUACCAAACCCAUAGUUAUUGUGCACCACAACAUCACGGCUCACAUCUUGCUAAUUGCACUGUACAGAUUAACUUCACAUCUACUUGUAAUCACAUCUGCCUGUAAUUAAAAUGUUAAUAAAUACCAUUAAUUUUAUUUCAAAUGAAAACAACAUGAAACAGGUGUACAAAAUUGUAAGAGAGAAGAACGAUGGAAGUUAUUUAUUAUUUUACAUUGAAAAGCUGGGAGUUGUCACCCAUGGUUGGUGAGCUACAGCAAGGGUAUACUCAUCAAAAAUGGAUUGUGUUGUACACUGUCUUAUAUAUUGCUUUGUACAUUUUUAAGAGUUGUUGACAUGUAGUGUUUUGCUGUUUUCAAAUGACUUUGUCCAAUUAUGCCUUUGUAACAGUUAUGGAUGAUAAUUAAAUUAUCAAAUUAUCAAUAUUAUUAA